rnacentral:rRNA from 1 species
CGAGUGGCGAACGGGUGAGUAACGCGUGAGGAACCUGCCUCAAAGAGGGGGACAACAGUUGGAAACAACUGCUAAUACCGCAUAAGCCCACGGGUCGGCAUCGACCAGAGGGAAAAGGAGCAAUCCGCUUUGAGAUGGCCUCGCGUCCGAUUAGCUGGUUGGUAAGGUAACGGCUUACCAAGGCGACGAUCAGUAGCCGACCUGAGAGGGUGACCGGCCACAUUGGGACUGAGACACGGCCCAA